rnacentral:rRNA from 1 species
UGGGGAUGACGUCAAGUCAGCAUGGCCUUUAUGUCCUGGGCUACACACACGCUACAAUGGCCAACACAAUAGGUUGCUAAGCCGCGAGGUGGAGCCAAUCCUCAAAGUUGGUCUCAGUUCAGAUUGCAGGCUGCAACCCGCCUGCAUGAAGAUGGACGUUGCUAGUAACCGUCAGGUCAGCUUAUUACUCGCGUCCGUAUACGUUCCGGCCUU